UGUAAUGCGGUUGGUCUAUUUGCCAUUUAAUACUUGCUGACAGUACUAACCUGUGUCACAGUUUGUCUACAGCUCUGGCCCCUGGCCCUGAUGCAAGUUUAUACUUUCACUGGUGUGCCGGUUCACGGUGUGCAUUCAGUGUUGGUUCAUGCAGGUCCAUCUCGUGCUGUGAUACAAGUCGGAGCUCAUGGCGAUGUUCCAAGCCACAACAUACACGCCUUCCAUAUUCAAGUUCCUGUGAAAAGCCCUUUUUCGCCGGCUGCAGCAUGCAGUACCAGUACAGCUGCACAUCUUGCUGAAUGCGGCCGGCGGCCAGGCUAUCCUGUAUCCAGGUCACCCACGCACUCGGACCGGAGUCUGGUCAUCUCUGAGUCUGAAGGGUCACACAUUGACCCACUGCAAGGGUGAAUAGCUAAGCGCCUAAGCCACAGUGGGUGAUCGUGAGACAUCACGUUUCCAGACAGGGGUGUGAGCCCGCCUCUCGGCACCGGAAGUACAGCUCGCUCGACUCGACUCUAGCUCUACUCUCAGUCA